UAAAAUAUUAAGAAGAUUUCGCUAAUAUAACUAAGAUUUAAAUUUUACUUAUUUUUUUAAGCAAACUAGUGCAAUUACUAAGCUUAAUUUGAGAAACCAGUUAAGCUAAUAAAAUUGAGGAAAGAUGGCUUCACGUUUAUUUUAAGAAAAUUCACUCAAUUAUGUGGAUUUGAUUGAGAUGUUUGCAUUUGAAUCUCAACAACGGCAGUGAUCAGACGACAUUUUGAAGGAGCAGAUCAACAGCGAGCAUGUUAAGAGUUUAAUGAAGAAAACUUUCGCAGUGUUUUCCCACUAAAGAGGAGCAGUUUAUUGAGGCAGAUUUUGAUAAAGAGAAUGGGUGCCAUACAUCAGACCUCACAUUAAAUCAGGGAUGAAACGAGAGAUGUCGUCCUCUGUUGCUGGUCUAUCUGUAUGAAUAAGAGGAAGAGCUCAUCCAGGAGUGCAAUUGUGGGAAUGCACAGAGAAUUGCUGUCUGUCAGAGGGAUGACCAACCAUGAGGACUUCUGCAUUGUCUUGGAGGAUAAGUGAGUCAUGGCUAGCCUGGAAAAUCUAGAAUCGCUGAACUGGAUUUAUACAAAUAUUCCACAAAUUAAAAUCACUUACAAAGAAAUGAAUAUUAAGUUUGCAAUACACAAAUUCUGUCAAAUAUUGUCUAAAAUGUGACUAUUCCUACAAAGGAAAGUUGACAGGUCAGUUUUUUCCAUGACAUGGAUAAAGGAAUUUUUAUCAGAGAUUAGCAUUGCUGUAAAUUUUAUAUAGAUUUGUUUAA